rnacentral:lncRNA from 1 species
CAUCAUCUCCACUAUAUCCUUUAUAGCCGUGCACCCAUGGCCUACCAUCUUCCACUAGGCCCCACCUUUUAAAGCACUGAGCUGUGCAACAAACCUUUAACACAUGGGUCUAUGGAGGACAAUCUAGAUCUAAACUACAGCCCAAUCCCAGGUGAAACGACAGCUAGAAAAAGACCUAGAGGAGAGAAUAAAUUCAUUUUCCUAAACAAGACGCAAGAAACACUAUUAGUGACUAAACACUGAAAGUGACAGAUUAGACUGCAUUAAAAUUUGAAACUUCUGUGUUAGGAUUUGGAUCUGAACCGUUCCUUAAAAGCUCAUGUGUUGAAGACUUGGUUCCUCGUACAGCAAUGUCCAGAGGUGGGGCUUUGGAGAAGUGAUUAGAUCAUGAUGACUCUAACCUCAUCAGUGGAUUAAUCCAUUUGGUGGAUUCACAAUUUGAAUGGACUCCUGGGAGGAGGUGGAAGCUGUAGGCAGGUGGGGAAUGGUUUGGAGAAAGC